rfam:Candidatus Colwellbacteria bacterium RIFCSPLOWO2_02_FTLL_45_11 rifcsplowo2_02_scaffold_8628, whole genome shotgun sequence.
GCCGGCAUAGCUCAGUGGUAGAGCGAGGGAUUCAUAAACCCUAGGUCGCAGGUCCAAUUCCUGCUGUCGGCA